CUGGUCUUGGGACACUGUCAGGUGGGCAGUUUGACUGGGGCGGUCGCCUCCCAAAAGGUAACGGAGGCGCUCAAAGGUUCGCUCAGUACGGUCGGAAAUCGUACGUAGAGUGUAAAGGCAAAAGAGAGCUUGAUUGCAAGACAUACAGGUCGAGCAAGGAUGAAAAUCGGACUUAGUGAUCCGGUGGUUCUGCGUGGAAGGGCCA
rnacentral:rRNA from 1 species